rnacentral:rRNA from 1 species
AUUGAACGCUGGCGGCAGGCCUAACACAUGCAAGUCGAGCGGAGCGGCGGACGGGUGAGUACUGCCUAGGAAUCUGCCUGGUAGUGGGGGAUAACGUCCGGAAACGGGCGCUAAUACCGCAUACUAUCAGAUGAGCCUAGGUCGGAUUGGCUAGGUGGUUGGGUAAAGGGCUACCAAGGCGACGAUCCGUAACUGGUCUGAGAGGAUGGUCAGGCACACUGGAACUUGGACACGGGCCAGACUCCUACGGGAGGCAGCAGUGGGGAAUAAUGCACGAUGGGGGGAAGCCUUAUGCAGCCAUGCCGGGUGUAUGAAGAAGGCCUUCGGGUUGUAAAGGACUUUCAGCGGGGAGGCGUUACCCGCAGAAGAAGCAACGGCUAACUCCGUGCCAGGAGCCGCGGUAAUUC